rnacentral:rRNA from 1 species
AAAGCACUUUCAGUAGGGAGGAAGGUAGUGUAGUUAACACCUGCAUUAUUUGACGUUACCUACAGAAGAAGCACCGGCUAACUCCGUGCCAGCAGCCGCGGUAAUACGGAGGGUGCGAGCGUUAAUCGGAAUUACUGGGCGUAAAGCGCAUGCAGGCGGCCUGUUAAGUCAGAUGUGAAAGCCCGGGGCUUAACCUCGGAAUUGCAUUUGAAAACUGGCAGGCUAGAGUCUUGUAGAGGGGGUAGAAUUUCAGGUGUAGCGGUGAAAAUGCGUAGAGAUCUGAAGGAAUACCAGUGGCGAAGGCGGCCCCCCUGGACAAAGACUGACGCUCAGAUGCGAAAGCGUGGGGAGCAAACAGGAUUAGAUACCCCUGGUAG